rnacentral:rRNA from 1 species
UACAGAGGUCUCAAGCGUUGUUCGGAUUCAUUGGGCGUAAAGGGUGUGUAGGUGGCGCGCUAAGUCGGGUGUGAAAUUUCGGAGCUUAACUCCGAAACUGCAUUCGAUACUGGCGUGCUUGAGGACUGGAGAGGAGACUGGAAUUUACGGUGUAGCAGUGAAAUGCGUAGAGAUCAAGAGGAACACUCGUGGCGAAAGCGAGCUACUGGACAAUUCCUGACGCUGGAGGCUCGAAGGCUAGGGUAGCGAAAGGG